AAUACGUAGGGUGCGAGCGUUGUCCGGAAUUACUGGGCGUAAAGAGCUCGUAGGUGGUUUGUCGCGUCGUCUGUGAAAUUCCGGGGCUUAACUCCGGGCGUGCAGGCGAUGCGGGCAUAACUUGAGUACUGUAGGGGAGACUGGAAUUCCUGGUGUAGCGGUGAAAUGCGCAGAUAUCAGGAGGAACACCGGUGGCGGAGGCGGGUCUCUGGGCAGUGACUGACGCUGAGGAGCGAAAGCAUGGGGAGCGAACAGGA
rnacentral:rRNA from 1 species